GACGAACGCUGGCGGCGUGCUUAACACAUGCAAGUCGAACGAUGAAGCCGGAGCUUGCUCUGGUGAAUUAGUGGCGAACGGGUGAGUAACACGUGAGUAACCUGCCCUUGACUCUGGGAUAACUGCGGGAAACUGUAGCUAAUACCGGAUACGACCCUCGGAGGCAUCUCCUGGGGGUGGAAAGAAUUUCGGUCAAGGAUGGACUCGCGGCCUAUCAGCUAGUUGGUGAGGUAAAGGCUCACCAAGGCGACGACGGGUAGCCGGCCUGAGAGGGUGACCGGCCACACUUGGACUGAGACACGGCCCAGACUGCUCCGGGAGGCAGCAGUGGGGAAUAUUGCACAAUGGGCGCAAGCCUGAUGCAGCAACGCCGCGUGAGGGAUGACGGCCUUCGGGUUGUAAACCUCUUUUAGUAGGGAAGAAGCGAAAGUGACGGUACCUGCAGAAAAAGCACCGGCUAACUACGUGCCAGCAGCCGCCGUAA
rnacentral:rRNA from 1 species